GGGGAAUAUUGCACAAUGGAGGAAACUCUGAUGCAGCAACGCCGCGUGAGUGAUGAAGGUCUUCGGAUUGUAAAGCUCUGUCUUCUGGGACGAUAAUGACGGUACCAGAGGAGGAAGCCACUGCUAACUACGUGCCAGCAGCCGCGGUAAUACGUAGGUAGCAAGCGUUGUCCGGAUUUACUGGGCGUAAAGGAUGUGUAGGCGGAUAUUUAAGUGAGAUGUGAAAUCCCCGGGCUUAACUUGGGGGCUGCAUUUCAAACUGGAUGUCUAGAGUGCAGGAGAGGAAAGCAGAAUUCCUAGUGUAGCGGUGAAAUGCGUAGAGAUUAGGAAGAAUACCAGUGGCGAAGGGGGCUUUCUGGACUGUAACUGACGCUGAGGCGCGAAAGCGUGGGGAGCAAAC
rnacentral:rRNA from 1 species